GCGAUAACAAUAGCCAAGCGGUAUCCAGCAUGCACGGCUUUGUGUAUUAGAGAUGGCUGGGAAUUUCGUCGUCCCGAGAAUGUCUCAGGUGCAUGUUUGAGAAUGUACUUGUUUUAAGAUAGAUGUAUGGUCAUUUAAGUCCAACCAAUCUAUAUUAUACAUGCAAGUGCAAUUUUAGAAGCAAUAGCUUGACUUUUGUUUUGUUAAACAG
rnacentral:lncRNA from 1 species